ACUUAUGUAGUUUAAUGAAAACAAUGAUUUGUGGUGUCAUAAAUAUAGAAUUAAUCUAUCUAAAGUU
rnacentral:tRNA from 1 species